UACGGAGGGUGCGAGCGUUGUCCGGAAUCACUGGGCGUAAAGGGCGCGUAGGCGGCGCAACAAGUCACUUGUGAAAUCUCCGGGCUUAACUCGGAGCGGCCAAGUGAUACUGUCGUGCUAGAGUGCGGAAGGGGCAACUGGAAUUCUCGGUGUAGCGGUGAAAUGCGUAGAUAUCGAGAGGAACACCUGCGGCGAAGGCGGGUUGCUGGGCUGACACUGACGCUGAGGCGCGAAAGCCAGGGGAGCGAACGGG
rnacentral:rRNA from 1 species